rnacentral:lncRNA from 1 species
CAGUUCCACCAACAAUGGCCAUUUCUCUAACAGGUUCACUCAUGAUCAUAUUUCUACCCAAUAUGCUAAGUGUGCUUCCAUUGAAAUCUCCAUCAGUGAAUGCCAUGGUCAUCACCAUCAUUAGUCCCAUCUCCUCUUGUGAUAUUGAAGUGUAAAUUCCUUGAGCCUUACCCACAAGUUUCGAGUCACGUUCAGGACCAGCAGUCAAUGGGUCAUCCAUGGCCACAACGGUCCCGAAUGGCAACGCAUUUUUUACCUUGCCAUUGGGCUCAGCUACAAAUACCAUGCUAGGUUUUGGUCCUGACACGAUGUCGUGAAAGUAAAAGUGAAGGUGAGUGAAUUUCUCUUCUUGAAAACCCAACAUUGUUGGGGAUAGGUUUUGAUAGUAAUUAGUGGCAGUGGCAAGGGAUAUUAUAGAGAGGAAAGUAAGGUUCAAAGAAAUUAGAAGAGUUAUGGAGAAUGUUGAGGAUUUUGCCAUGGUUGAUGCGAAUGAACAAAGAAUGUAGUUUUUGUUGUUGAGGAUAAUGAACUAAGAAUGCUUAUUGCUUAUUUCAAUUCGUUGUAUACAUGCCUAUUUAUAAUAGGUGUGGCUGCUUUGUUCAUUUGUAUAUAUUGAUUUGUCUAAAGCUGAAGUUUGUUGACCAAAAACUUUUAGAUAUAUGUCAAAAUAUGGUGGAAAAAUGAUAGACGCCAGAAACAUGUAAAGCGUUGUCAACGAAACAUCCGAGAAAUAUAGUGGAGAAAAAAAUAUAACUCAAUCGUAUUCACUCAGACUAAUGACUUUUUUUUUUUUUUUUAUGGGAAACCAUCAUUUUUGACAUUUUGGCUUCCUAACAUUAGUGGUUGUUAACAUUAUACAUAGAGUUUAAACAAUCUUGCAUAACAAUGUCAUGUCUUCCUUUCAAUAAAAAAUAAAACAAUGUCAUGUCUUCUAAGUCAUGUUUUUUACUUCAUGAAUAUUGUAUUUAAGAGGAUUGAUUUUGCAAUCUAAAAAGGUCUAACGACACAACUUGUUAUUUGUCUGUCUUCUAUUCAUGUUAAUUAAAAACGAGUCUUUUAUUAUGCGGCAACUUGCAUGAGUGGUUGCGACAUCCUUUACUGUGUAUGGACAUCUCUGUAAUUUUUUUUUUUUUUUUUUGCGGCAGCUUGCAUUUGUUUUUGGUUUUGGUGACACCGUAAAAACUCUAGUUGGCCUCCUUUAGCACAUCUUGGAGAGUCACUUUCUAUGUGUUAAUAUAAUCUUAUUUUGACAUGUUAAAAAAAAAAAAAAAAAAGUCAACUAAAUCAAGCCUUCCUAUUAAAGAAAAAAGUGAACCAAAUACCACGCAUUUUUUAUGAGCCAACCGUAAAUAAAUUUUCUAAUUAGUGUUGCAUCAUUUGCACCUCUAGAAGAUAUGAGGUGGCUCAUAUUUUCGUCAUGGUGUGAAAAAGAUGUUUAAAAGGCGUAUAAAGAAUUUUUUUUCCGUCAUUCAAAUUCAAAUGCUGGAAAUUUUAUAAACGGGAGAGGAAUGUUAUUUUAUUCAACAGAGAAGAGAACUUAGCUAGCUUCCAGUGUUAUGGGGUGUGUAGGACUUGACCGAAAAUUUAAUAUUAGUGCCAAGCCUUUGGUUGGAGGCUGCUAUAUAGAUAUGAUUGUGGCCGGUACAUUGGACACGUACAAAACUCAAAGAAUAGAAAUCAAAUUUGAGUAUUAGAUAGACUAUUACUCCAUUAGAAUAGAAGAGUGGGGUAUUAGUGUAUUACAUUAAUAGAUUAUUAUAGUUAAAUAUAAUUUUAGUCUCCAAGACCAAGGCUUAAGAUUUUUAUGUCCCAAACAAAUAUCUUUUUAAUAAUUUUAAAUGUUUUUCUAUUUGUAUCUUUUGUUGUAAAAGAUUUAUUUAGUGUUAAGCUCAUGAGUACAUAACUUUUUAUGGUUUAAUGCUGGUAAGUGUAUUUGUUUGCAUUCAUUUUCUGCAAAUUCAAUACGGAAACUUUUAGUUAUGACGUUAAGGGUUGAGUCAUGAUGUAAUUUUAUUGAGUACGUCAAGGAUUGAAAACAACAAUUUUAAAUUUGUUUUUACAAAAAUAAUAAUAAUAACUGCAGAGAUUGAAUUGAAACAAAAAAUAUUAUAAGAAAUGAAGCCAAAAAAUUUCUAUAAUUGACAGAACUAAAAUCAAAUUUAAAUCCAUUAAGAUUGUUAUAACAUCUAAUCGAGUUGCAUAGAAAAGACCAACAAACUAUUAGUGUGUCGAAUAUGAACCACCCAAAAUGAUCCAAAGGUAAACAUUUUCCAUUAGUAAACAUAAAUCAUAAUAUAUAACAAAAUAUAGAAAAUAAUAUCUUGUUAAAAAUUACUAUAAACUAGGUCCUUACAAACUAUUAAAACAAUUAGGUUUUUUUUUUUUUUUACAGAAUAUUAAGACAUUUAGUUAUAUUUAUUUACAAUUGUAUCAUUAAAAAAUGUUGAACCUAUCUUAUCUAUCAUAUUAUUUAUCAUUUUUUACUACUCAUUUAUUAUUUAUUGUUAGUUAUAAAAGAUAUGUAAAAAAAAUUGUAGGCAUUUAAAAAAUUAUAAUUAAUAGAAUUGAAAAUUUGAAAUGAGUCAAACAAAAAGGACAACAAAUUUUUUAUUUAGCUAUCUUUUACAAAUAUUUUUCUUAAUAGUCCUCUUAAACUUGAAGAUGAACAACAUAACAAUUGAUCAUGCCGGAUCUGGAGAUCUCUAGUUGGUGAUGGUGAAUGCCUUUGAAGGUUGGAUCUUCGUCACUAGCAACCUUCUUCUUCAGAGGAGAGUUUGCAGUUUUCGUACAUACUUCCACAAUGAAGUCAAUAACUGGACAAUGAGCAUACUUGGACCAAUGUCAUGAGUUAAUGGAUUUAGGAUUUUAGGGUGAUAGAAGAGGUUUAGGGUUUUGCCCUUGAAUUGUUAACUGGACAAUUGUCCUCGAGGGACACAUAUAAACAUAUUAAAAGGCCAUCAUUUUAUUUGUCCUAAACGGUCUAUAUCUUUCCAUGGGGUCUUAAUCCAGUGAUAUUUAGGGUGAUUCCAUGCUAUGGUCCUUACAUAUAAGCUUUGAAGGGUACCUGGAUUCAGGCAUGGAUUGAACAUUGACCCAAUAUGGAACAACAACACAAGACAUCAUGAGUUUUUUUAAUAAUCGGAGAUCAUGAAAUAUAAGGAAACAUGAGAAGGGGAAACAAAACUGUAUUGGAUGCUCAACCCAGUUUUAACGGAAUUCAUGGGGAGGUUGAGGGUACCUCCGUACAUGGGAAUUGGUCAAAAUAUUUCUCCUUCGUUUUUUUUCUUCGUUGAAUUAAAACUAAAAAUAAAUAUAUUGAAUUUAUAAACGAAUGUGGUAUUACAUGUUUAUUUCACCUAUUUGACUUUCACUUUAGGCGAGAGUGUGUAACAGAAGCAUAAUAACAAUUUACUGAAUAACAAAUCAAAAUAUAAACUCUACUUUUAUGAAGCACCUAUAAGGCUAGACCUAACUAAUAAUGGAACAUAAAUAUGUCAUACUCCACAAUGGCAUCUCCUUUAGUGUAAUCAACGGAAUAAAAUUUAGCUUGAGCAUAACCACGUACAAAACGAAAAGCCCCAGUUCCACCAACAAUGGCCAUUUCUCUAACAGGUUCACUCAUGAUCAUAUUUCUACCCAAUAUGCUAAGUGUGCUUCCAUUGAAAUGUCCAUCAGUGAAUGUCAUGGUCAUCACCAUCAUUAGUCCCAUCUCCUCUUGUGAUAUAGAGGUGUAAAUUCCUUGAGCCUUACCCACAAGUUUUGAUUCACGUUCGGGUCCAGCCGUCAAGGGGUCAUCCAUCGCCACAACUGUCCCGAAUGGCAAGGCAUUUUUUACCUUGCCAUUGGGCUCAGCUACAAAUACCAUGCUAGGUUUUGGUCCUGACACGAUGUCGUGAAAGUAAAAAUGAAGGUGAGUGAAUUUCUCUUCUUGAAAACCCAGCAUUGUUGGGGAUAGGCUUUUAUAGUAAUUAGUGGCAGUGGCAAGGGAUAUUAUGGAGACGAAAGUAAGGUUCAAAGAAAUGAGAAUUGUGGAACAUGAUGAGAAUUUUGCCAUGGUUGAUGUGAAUGAACUAAGAAUGCUUUUUGUUGUUGUUGUUGAGGAUCGGAUAAUGAACUUAUAAGAAUGCUAUUACUAUGAAAAAUGUCUCUGAUCCGAUCAGUGGUAUAUUUCAAUUGGUUUGGAUACAUGCCUAUUUAUAUAAUAGGUGUGGCUGCUUCUUUCAUUUGUUUAUAAUAUUAUCUGUCUCAAGCUGAUGUUUCUUGACCAAAAACUUUAGAUAUAUGUCAAAAUACGGUAGAAAAAUGACAGACGCCAGAAACAUGUAAAAUGUUAGUUUUCUUAGCAAACGAAGCAUCCGAGAAAUAUAGUGAAAAAUUUAUAAGCUCAAUCAUAUUUUCUCAAAUUAAUUAUUAUUUUUUAGUAUAAAAUAAUUUGUCGUGUAAUCAAUAUGCUGAAACAAUUCUUCAUUGUUUGUGAGAUUAUGAAUUCGCAACCAUUUUCUGGAAAUCUAUUGGUUUUGUGGACCACCUAUUCUACCAAGGCGAUGACUUAUAAUAUGACUGGUUGCGGUAAGGAACGAUUGGCACCACUAUUUUUCUAUUUCUGGCUGCUUGUUGGUGGUUGUGGCGUGAGAGAAAUAAGUUGUAUUUUGCAAAUGAAUUGGUGUCUUCCUUCACCUUAAGGCACACCACUUUUAAUUAUAUGCUCAGUUGUUAUCGAAGUGUUUCCUUAAACAGGGGCAUGAAUCUGCCACGAGGUCGGUAAAGUGGAAUGUGUCCUAUGUGAAUGGCAUGAUUUUAUAUGUUGAUGGGUGCAGUCUUGGUAACCCCGGUGUCUCCGGGUUUGGCGGUUUGCUUCGUAAUGAUGAUGGUGCUUGGUAUUGCGGAUUUGCAGGUAAGAUUGGGUUUUCCAAUAUCCUGCAUGCAGAACUCUUGGCAGUUUAUCAUGGAUUGAGAUUGGCUUGGGAAUUUGGCAUGUCAGAGUUGGUGUGUUAUUAAGAUUCUAAAACAGCAAUCAAGUGGAUUAAGCAACCUGUUAACGGAAGGUAAUGUCUGUGUUGAUUACCUUGCAAAGAUUGAGGCUAGCUCUCAUGAGGCACGCCAGUCUUUUGUUGCACCUCCAGCUGGAAUCAGCAACCUCCUACUAGCAAAUGCGAGUGGGAUCUUUUUCCCUAGAUAGUUGUUUCUUCUUUUUGUUUUUCUUUUUGCAUUUUGUUACCAAAAAAUAAAUAAUGAUUUGAUAUGAGUAAAAUCAUUUAGGAUAAUUUUCAUUUCUAAAAAAAUGGGAUGACAUUAGUUAUAAUUGGGAAAGAAAAGUUAAAAAGUUUUGUAUUGAUCAAGAAUUCAAGACCCUCUCUAUUUUUUAAAGAAAUUGUGGGCUCUAUUUAUGAAAUGGAAAUACGCACUCAAGAAUUUAGUGGAUCUCAUAUUUAGCUGGACCUAUAUUUUGUGACUCAUCAAACUCCUUAAUGUGAUUUUUUCCGCUCAUUAACGAAACCAUCCAUUUCUUUGAGAAAUAAAGAUGAUAUUUUUACCAUCUUAAUCCAUUUGAUGGUACCCACCAAUUAAUAUCAUUUUUCGUGCUGAUAUAUCUUCAAAUGGAAUCAUUAAUUUCGUUUGAGAAAUGGAUAUGACCUUGUUGGAGCAAUAUUUAAGAAUGGUUCAAAAGUAUUUAAGCUACCGAGAAAAAUUACUGCCAUGAGUCGUCGACUAGGACACUCUUUUUAAAACUAUCAACUAUGACAUCCCAAUAUAAAACAACACAUCUACAAUUGUAUUUGAAUCAUACUACAUUGUAAGAUACUAAGAUCCAUUCUAGAAAUACACCUUUAAAAUGGUACUUAGACCACUUAAUAUGAUACCGAGACCACUCUAACUUCCGAAGGAACAAAUUAAUCGAAGGGGCAGAAAAGGAGAAGAAAGAAAAUCCGUUGAUAGAUGAGUUUUGGUGUGAAGAGAAGUUAGGGUGAGACAUUAUUUUAUUAGUGCAAGAGCCAAAGAGGCAACCAAAAUGGAGGGAUGGGAUCAGUUGACCAUCAUGGGAUCAACGACAUGAUCUCACCUCAUUAAGAAUUGGCGCAGAAAUGAGUUUGCAUUUGCAAAUCACAAGAGGACAAGAGGACUCACACGUUGGUGUUUUCAAACACAUGUUGAUGCGUGCAAACCUGUGACGAGAAGAAGACAUGUACCAAAUAAAAUUAAUUCCAAAAAAUUAAUUAAUUUAAGAUUUCGGAUCUUUAAAAAAUAAUACACAACUUAGUCCAAACUCAUGCCCAGAUCCGACCUGACGACAUCAUUGUCUUCACGUGUGUAGUGUUGAAAUUGAUUGCAUCAUCUCCCCUUUAAAAAAUUGGAUAUCUCUUUGGGGCAAGCCCCAAGAGCCCUUCCUCCAAUAUAUAAAUACUUGUGUUGUGAGAAGUAUCUCCAAUGUGGGACUUGUCGAAAUUUUUUAAUUCACACACAAACACACUUUUGUUCUUAAUUCAAUUUUUCACUUGAAUUUAAAAUAACUCGGAAGUUUCUUUUAAGAUUGUGCAUAAGUAGAUGUGUUUUGCAACUUGAACAAUUGUAUAGUGAAUAAGAUUCAGAUUUAUUAGAGUGACUCGUAAUCUUAAACUCUAUCUCUAAUAUCAAAACGUACACAAUAUUUUCUUAUGUGUAUUUUCAAAAAGUUUGUCCAUUAAGACCUUACAUAUCAAUCUUGAUUUAACAAAUGCUCUACGAAUUUUUCCUAGAAUUUCAUAGGAAUAGACCCUGACUUGCACAUUCACAAAGGUCCGUAUGUCAAGAGUACUGCUCUUAUAUCAGAGUAUUCCACUUUGCGUAAAUGUACGUAUGUCAAGGGUACUCUUGUAUCAAAGUACUCCACUCUACAUAGAGUAAAAAUCUCAUGAACAAUUUCCUUUAAUUCACGUCCUCUUUAUCGCUUUAGAAAUCAUGUUUUUAUGUUCUCCUUCUGUUACCUCACAACAUAUGUUUAAUCGCCUACUAAAAGCAUAAGUGAAUAGUUUCAUUGUUGAAUAAAAUAUUACAGAAGCAGAUAUAAUGUUUAAACCCACACACAAAAACUUAUAUAUGUUAAAAAAAUCACUAAACAAAAUAACUAAAAAAUAUGUCUUCAAAGAUAACUUUUCACUAGUAUGUAUAGUACGCUAUACCGACUCGUUAAAAUAGAAAUGGAAUAUCACGAGACUCACAAGUCACAAUGCUAGCAAUUCAAAUAAUGGUCCUUUGUCCCUUUGGAGGAAACACUAUAAUGAGUCUGAAGAUAUCUAUUUCUUUAGUGGUAUAUUAAAGUGACAAUAAUUAACAAUGUAUACUGAAUUUAAUAACCAAUGUGGUAUUACAAUGUUUAUUUCAUCGGUUUGCCUUUCACAUUGGGUGAGAGUUUGACAAGAACAAAAUAAUAAUAAAUGUAAAAUAAUCUCUACUUUUAUGAAGCACCUAUGCCUAACUAAUAAUGGAACACAAAUAUGUCAUAUUCUACAACGGCAUCUCCUUUUGUAUAAUCAACCGAAUAAAACUUAGCCUGAGCAUAUCCACGUACGAAACGAAAUGCCCCGGUUCCACCAACUAUGGCCAUUUCUCUAACAGGUUCACUCAUGAUCAUGUUUCUACCCAAUAUGCUAAGUGUGCUUCCAUUAAAAUGUCCAUCAGUGAAUGCCAUGGUCAUCACCAUCAUUAGUCCCAUCUCCUCUUGUGAUAUAGAAGUGUAAAUUCCUUGAGCCUUACCCACAAGUUUCGAGUCACGUUCGGGCCCAGCCGUCAAUGGAUCGUCCAUGGCCACAACCGUCCCGAAUGGCAACGCAUUUUUUACCUUGCCAUUAGGCUCAGCUAUAAAUACCAUGCUUGGUUUUGGUCCCGACACAAUGUCAUGAAAGUAAAAGUGAAGGUGAGUGAAUUUCUCUUCUUGAAAACCCAGCAUUGUUGGAGAUAGGCUUUGAUAGUAAUUAGUGGCCGUGGUAAGGGAUAUUAUGGAGAGGAAAGUAAGGUUCAAAGAAAUUAGAAGAGUUAUGGGGAAUGUUGAGGAUUUUGCCAUGGUUGUGUUAAUGAACUAAUAACUAUGAACUCAGAUCCGAUUG